rnacentral:lncRNA from 1 species
UUCUUAGCCUGCUGCCAGCCUCUUCCCUUGGCUGGAAAUGUUGCGAGCUCUCUGCAGCUGAAUUCAAAGGCUUCUCUCUUCUUCCCCGGAAACACACCCAGGGAACAGGUUGAGGUUUCCAGCAUAACUCACCCCCACAAUGGUUUGAAACGUGGUUCGCAGCUUCCUUCUGUUCAUGAAGCUCUUUGAGGUAACCUGCUGCUUUCACUGUAUGUCCGGUGCCCACA